rnacentral:rRNA from 1 species
UACGUAGGGCGCAAGCGUUGUCCGGAAUUAUUGGCGAAGAAGCUCGUAGGCGGCUUGUCACGUCGGAUGUGAAAGCCCGGGGCUUAACUCCGGGUCUGCAUUCGAUACGGGCUAGCUAGAGUGUGGUAGGGGAGAUCGGAAUUCCUGGUGUAGCGGUGAAAUGCGCAGAUAUCAGGAGGAACACCGGUGGCGAAGGCGGAUCUCUGGGCCAUUACUGACGCUGAGGAGCGAAAGCGUGGGGAGCGAACAGG